GGAGCAGGAGCUGGAACUUGAGCGGGAGGGGAAGCGAGAGGAGCUGGAGGAGGAGUUGAGACGGGAGGAGGAGUAGCUGGAGGAGGAGAUGCGACUGGAGGAGGAGUAGCGGGAGGAGGAGAUGCGACUGGAGGAGGAGGAGAUGCAGGUGGUGGAGAAGAGACUGGAGGAGGAGUAGCCGGAGGAGGAGCGGUGGUGACUGGAGGAGGAGAAGUGGUGACUGGUGGAGGAGCUGAGACAGGAGGAGGAGUCAUUGCUGGUGGUGGAGUUGUUGGAGUCGGUGGUGCUGGUGUAGCGGUUGGUGGUGAAGACGGAGCUUGACCUCCGACGCCGGCGACGAGGACGAUACAGAUCGCAACGAUAACAAAUUGCCUACCCAUUCUUUUUUA
rnacentral:lncRNA from 1 species